GAAGAUCGCUGGUCAUGUUUUGACUACACAGAGUAGGAAAAAGUUGGGUAUUCUUGUUUUUAUUUGGAUUACUGCAUGGAAAUUAACCAUACAGACACAACCCCUUCAGUAAUUCCUCGUACUUUUGUAAUUGCUUAUUCUGCGUGGAUAUCGUCUCCCAAGCCGGCUGGGUGGGCAAAGCCCUGCAGGUGCGGCGAGCUCGGGGCGGGCUCCUGGCAGGGGAGGGUCCUGGCUGACAGCUGUGGGAGCCAGGGGCUGCCAGGGAUGCUCUGCUCAGCCCUGCCCCGGCGUACGGACCAGCGCAGCGACCUCCCUACAGGAACGGCGUGGAAUCCACCCAAGACAGAGCACGUACAAAACCGAUCAACAUACAGGUGUGAUGGUAAUGGGACAUCAGAGGAACGCUCAGAUGCAUAGAAACAGCUGCCAGCAAGAGCAGAAAUGUAAAAAAUAAAUCUCCAGAAUGAGCAGCUGGAAUCAGCCCAUGUUUCCCUAUAAACUGUUGAAACCUGGAAGAAAGGUUGCAAGACCGUGAUGCAUCUUCCCAUGGCUGCUAGUUCAUGAUCGUGAGGAACCAGUGAGUGACCCAGGGUGAGAGCCUGCUUCAAACAGGCAGCUCCUGCAGGCUGUGGAUGCCAACUGUCUAGGCAGAGAGAGAUCAAGGAUUCAUGUGCAGCCUUUUGCUGUUGUCAGGGAAAAGAAGGAGAAAGAACAAAGGACUCAGCCCUGGAAUCUAUUGUCUGUGGUCUGAGGUGUCUUCAAUGGAUUUCUGGCUUCCUCUUGGGAACUGGAAACGAUAAUUGCAGCUUCUCUACACCGUGGUAUUUCUCAAUUUCUCUUUUGUUGUGUUGGACUGACAGAUGAGAAGGAAAAUUUUGACAUAGCAAUGUGCCAUACAUAUUCAUCAAAUACUGAAAACUGAUGUUUGCAGGGGAUCCAGCAGAGAGAAGAGCAAGAGUAUACUGAGCAACUGCAUACGACUGCAGGAGAUGACACAAGGCCACCUCUCCUGUGUAGCCCACGCUCCAUGUCUGAGCACUGAGUCUAUGGAUAGACCUCUUUAUCCUGAUUGUACUGCCUGCUUUCCAAUGAUGCCCUAGCGUGCCAGCAGAGCAGUCAGGACUGAAAGGCCUGGUCAUGUAUCUCAAGUGCCGUGUAUCUCAGUCACCCUGGGACUGCAAAAAGUUCCUUGUCCUUGUUGUGACCCCUAAACAGGUUUGGAGCUCUGUGUCCAUGUGGUGACUCCCCUCAGGAAGCCAAUGGUGUUUGCUGUUUACUUAAAAGUACUUAAAAAUGAAGUGUCAGUGUACUAAACAGGAGGCUCUCAUGAGGACGGUGGAGGAUGAAGGCUGUUUGGAGCACAGGCGUUGGUUGACUCCUCAGGUCUUUCGUUGCCAUCCAUGUGUGACACAGUUUCUAUAUUACUUAACUGGUUAACCUUUGUAAAUAUUGUUUUAACUGCAGGUAAAUCCACAGUAGAGGUACUUGUGACUUUUGUCUGUUCCUCACAGUGGUGUGCUCAGAGUCACUGGAACCAGUCGGGCAAAUGGGUUCGAUCCUCACAGCACAGUGCUGCUUCUGACUCAUUUGUGACAGGAGCCCUUCACUAAAUGCACAUUGCAUGGAGGGAGGGUUUUGUGCUGAGGUUUUGUGCUCUCACCACUUCUUCAGUUCAUGGAAAAACCAGGAUCAAAGAGCUCAGUAUAACGAGCAGUGUUGCAUGGAGACGAGAUCAGCAGAUGUUCUUAUUAAAGUUAGAAGAACUUAUGCCCCAUCUUUUAUGUUGGGAAGAGUAAUGGCACUGUCAUUACAUCUUAAAUCUGCCUAUUUUGCAACACAAUAUGUUAGAUGGGCUCUUUGAUAAAAUACAGCUUCAUGCUAAAAAUAAAAUGUAAAGGCUAUUCACUUGCUCAACUCAAACAUUUUGGAAAGUCCUAACCGUGCUAUUAAGUGUUGCAUUCAACUCCUUGAUUUGGUCUAUUUUGCUCUGUUCCUUGUUUUGAUCUAAUUCUUACAUUGCUCUUUCCAUCUAUUUUGUUUUCAUUAUAAAGGUACCUGAGGGAUCCCAGCAGGAAACAGCACAAGAAGUGGAAAAGGUUUUCAAAAAACCCAGUCUGCUCUUUGAACUCUUGCAAUCCCUGUGGCCACACAGGAGCAUUGGGAAAUUAAUUGGGUCAUUCAUUUGAGUUUAUGGCAGGCUGAAAGCCAUUGUUUUCUGGCAAAGAAAAGCAGAUAAAUAAUUAAAUACAAACUUUGGAAUUAUGCAGUAACUUUAAAUCAAGUAUUCAUCAUUGGUCAGAUUUGGGGUGGGAAAGGUGACAGGCUGCCUGUCUGGAAAACAAACCUCACCUUCGUGAUGUGGCAUGGAGAGAUGAUGCUUGAUGUAAAUCAUAGAACUGUAAAAUAACUGUAUUUUUGCUGACUAAGCUGCCCUUCAGGGAGGCCUGAACAGAGUUCCCUGGGCACAGCUGGUUCCUGGGCUGGGGAGCAGCAAUCACACCUCAUAAAUCCAUACAGCAAUGAAGAUACUGCCCAUUAACUUCUGAGCAGCACCAUUAAGCUUGUUUAUUUAAGGAACCUGAGAGGUAAUGUGGUGGCAUAUUGUUAUGCCUAUUAAAAUCUGUAGGAAUUAAAAACAUGGAACGUUU